AUUGAACGCUGGCGGCAGGCCUAACACAUGCAAGUCGAGCGGAGCAGCGGACGAGGGAGUAAUGCCUAGGAAGCUGCCUGUUCGUGAGUGAUAACGUCCGGAAACGGGCGCUGCUACCGCAUACUAUCAGAUGAACCUAGGUCGGAUUAGCAAGUUGGGGGUGUAAAGUCCUACCAAGGCGACGAUCCGUAACUGGUCGGAGAGGAUGAGCAGGCAAACUGGAACUGAGACACGGCGCAGACUGCUACGGGAGGAAGCAGUGGGGAAUAUUGGACAAUGGGCGAAAGCCUGAUCCAGCCAUGUCGCGUGUAUGAAGAAGGUCGUCGGAUGGUAAAGCAAGUUAAGCUGGGAGGCGUUACCAACAGAAUAAGCACCGGCUAACUUCGUGCCAGCAGCCGCGGUAAUAC
rnacentral:rRNA from 1 species